rnacentral:rRNA from 1 species
GAUGAACGCUGGCGGCGUGCCUAAUACAUGCAAGUCGAACGAGGUGCUUUUGUAGCAAUACGAGAGUAUCCUAGUGGCGAACGGGUGAGUAACGCGUUGGUGACCUACCCCAAAGUGUGGGAUAACAGUCCGAAAGGAUUGCUAAUACCGCAUGUGGUCAUUGGAUUUAGAAACUGAUGACUAAAGGAGCAAUUCGCUUUGGGAGGGACCUGCGUCCCAUCAGCUAGUUGGUGAGGUAAUGGCUCACCAAGGCGACGACGGGUAGGGGACCUGAGAGGGUGGCCCCCCACAAUGGAACUGAAACACGGUCCAUACACCUACGGGUGGCAGCAGUAGGGAAUAUUGCACAAUGGGCGAAAGCCUGAUGCAGCAACGCCGCGUGUGUGAUGAAGGCCUUCGGGUCGUAAAGCACUUUUCUGGGAGAUGAGAAAGGACAGUAUCCCAGGAAUAAGUCUCGGCUAACUACGUGCCAGCAGCCGCGGUAA